CCAGGAUGUUGGCUUAGAAGCAGCCAUCAUUUAAAGAAAGCGUAAUAGCUCACUGGUCGAGUCGGCCUGCGCGGAAGAUGUAACGGGGCUAAACCAUGCACCGAAGCUGCGGCAGCGACACUAUGUGUUGUUGGGUAGGGGAGCGUUCUGUAAGCCUGUGAAGGUGUGCUGUGAGGCAUGCUGGAGGUAUCAGAAGUGCGAAUGCUGACAUAAGUAACGAUAAAGCGGGUGAAAAGCCCGCUCGCCGGAAGACCAAGGGUUCCUGUCCAACGUUAAUCGGGGCAGGGUGAGUCGACCCCUAAGGCGAGGCCGAAAGGCGUAGUCGAUGGGAAACAGGUUAAUAUUCCUGUACUUGGUGUUACUGCGAAGGGGGGACGGAGAAGGCUAUGUUGGCCGGGCGACGGUUGUCCCGGUUUAAGCGUGUAGGCUGGUUUUCCAGGCAAAUCCGGAAAACCAAGGCUGAGGCGUGAUGACGAGGCACUACGGUGCUGAAGCGACAAAUGCCCUGCUUCCAGGAAAAGCCUCUAAGCAUCAGGUAACAUCAAAUCGUACCCCAAACCGACACAGGUGGUCAGGUAGAGAAUACCAAGGCGCUUGAGAGAACUCGGGUGAAGGAACUAGGCAAAAUGGUGCCGUAACUUCGGGAGAAGGCACGCUGAUAUGUAGGUGAAGCGACUUGCUCGUGGAGCUGAAAUCAGUCGAAGAUACCAGCUGGCUGCAACUGUUUAUUAAAAACACAGCACUGUGCAAACACGAAAGUGGACGUAUACGGUGUGACGCCUGCCCGGUGCCGGAAGGUUAAUUGAUGGGGUUAGCGGUAACGCGAAGCUCUUGAUCGAAGCCCCGGUAAACGGCGGCCGUAACUAUAACGGUCCUAAGGUAGCGAAAUUCCUUGUCGGGUAAGUUCCGACCUGCACGAAUGGCGUAAUGAUGGCCAGGCUGUCUCCACCCGAGACUCAGUGAAAUUGAACUCGCUGUGAAGAUGCAGUGUACCCGCGGCAAGACGGAAAGACCCCGUGAACCUUUACUAUAGCUUGACACUGAACAUUGAGCCUUGAUGUGUAGGAUAGGUGGGAGGCUUUGAAGUGUGGACGCCAGUCUGCAUGGAGCCGGCCUUGAAAUACCACCCUUUAAUGUUUGAUGUUCUAACGUUGGCCCGUAAUCCGGGUUGCGGACAGUGUCUGGUGGGUAGUUUGACUGGGGCGGUCUCCUCCUAAAGAGUAACGGAGGAGCACGAAGGUUGGCUAAUCCUGGUCGGACAUCAGGAGGUUAGUGCAAUGGCAUAAGCCAGCUUGACUGCGAGCGUGACGGC
rnacentral:rRNA from 1 species